GACGAACGCUGGCGGCGUGCUUAACACAUGCAAGUCGAACGGAAAGGCCCUGCUUUUGUGGGGUGCUCGAGUGGCGAACGGGUGAGUAACACGUGAGUAACCUGCCCUUGACUUUGGGAUAACUUCAGGAAACUGGGGCUAAUACCGGAUAGGAGCUCCUGCUGCAUGGUGGGGGUUGGAAAGUUUCGGCGGUUGGGGAUGGACUCGCGGCUUAUCAGCUUGUUGGUGGGGUAGUGGCUUACCAAGGCUUUGACGGGUAGCCGGCCUGAGAGGGUGACCGGCCACAUUGGGACUGAGAUACGGCACAGGCUCCUACGGGAGGCAGCAGUGGGGAAUAUUGCACCAUGGGCGGAAGCCUGAUGCAGCAACGCCGCGUGCGGGAUGACGGCCUUCGGGUUGUAAACCGCUUUCGCCUGUGACGAAGCGUGAGUGACGGUAAUGGGUAGAGAAGCACCGGCUAACUACGUG
rnacentral:rRNA from 1 species